AUACGUAGGUGGCAAGCGUUGUCCGGAUUUAUUGGGCGUAAAGCGCGCGCAGGCGGUCUUUUAAGUCUGAUGUGAAAUCUUACAGCUUAACUGUAAGCGGUCAUUGGAAACUGGGAGACUUGAGUGCAGAAGAGGAGAGUGGAAUUCCAUGUGUAGCGGUGAAAUGCGUAGAGAUAUGGAGGAACACCAGUGGCGAAGGCGACUCUCUGGUCCGCAACUGACGCUGAGGCGCGAAAGCGUGGGGAUCAAACAGGAUUAGAUACCCUGGUAGUCCACGCCGUAAACGAUGAGUGCUAGGUGUUAGGGGUUUCGAGACCCUUAGUGCCGCAGUUAACACAUUAAGCACUCCGCCUGGGGAGUACGGCCGCAAGGCUGAA
rnacentral:rRNA from 1 species